ensembl:ncRNA C34E11.15 ncRNA
UCAAGCUUGGGAGGCGGCACAAACGCACACACACACACACACAUAUACACAAACACUUUUUUAUUUUAUUUUAUUCGAAAUUCGUC